rnacentral:lncRNA from 1 species
GGGACCAAAAGAUGGUGGUGUGUAGCCCGGUGGUCUGGCUGGUGUCGAGGUUGCUUCGCGCUUGGCCACCCCCCUAGCAGUUGCUCACUGUGCUCAGUAAGGUGUGAGGCCCAGCCCGCCGACAGCUAGGAAAUGGAGGUUUCCUUUGGAGCCAUUGUAAAGACAAGUCCUCAAAUAGAUUUCUGCUGAUCCAAAGAGAAAACCCAUCACUCCUCUCAAAAAGCACAGUAUAGGGAUGAUGUAUUCAACAAAAUAGUGACCCUUUAUGUAUAAAUUUACUCCUAAACCCACUUUGCAGGCCAUUACAUAGAGGAACCAGGCAUAGACAACACCGUGAACAAGUUUAGGUGAAGGUGAAUGAUGCCGUUGGAUCAUUCUUGUUUCUGAAGUCACGGGAGGUAACAUUUGUUUCUGUGACAAAAUUUCAACCUAAAUGUGAGAAGUGACUUGGGAGUUCCGUAUGUGAAAUACCGGUUUUACAUAUUGUGCCAAGAUGGGUGUAUGGUCUCAUAUGAAGGAAGGAACUUAAGAUUAGCACCCACAGAAAUGAGAAGCUUUGACCCAUCCUCCCCCAGUGUUUGGUUACCGCUUUGUCUUUAUGGGAGGCCGUAAUAUAAGGAGGACAGAAGGAUUAACCUAUGCACAGAAUGUUGCCAGACACACAGCCUCAGAUUAAAACAUUUAUUUUGUAAUGUAUAUUUCCCCUGGGCCAAACAGUGCCUGUUCUUACUUUUGAUUUGUUUUUGUCUUGAGAGUAAACCAAGCAGGUUCUAAAAUCCUUUCCUGGAAACACCAAGAUGUCCCUUCUAAGCUUAGGAAGUCCUGGUCACUGUUUGGGCAUUUGAAAAUAAAAAGAUCUGUCAAAGGAAAUAAUUCUAAAUUACUGCCUUUUGAUACAUGUUGGUUUGAUUUUUGUUUCAUGGUUGACUAUAACAUACUAGAAAUACUCUGCAACUAAGAACUGAAGAAUUUUUAACAUUAAGGGGAACAACAUUUUACUGUUAAGUGAACAACCACAACAGAAUUACAAUAUAUGUAUAUUUCAUGUGUAGUGUGUACAGAAAUGCAUAUAGUCCCAAUUCCCCACUGAAGAAAAACUAGAUUUUUCUAAUUAGAUAUAAAAAAAAGCAACAUUGCUGUUUUGUGGUUCAUAGUAGUAGGAUUCUACUAAUAAAGUUUCCCUUACACUUUUGAAAAUGCUCUAUGUACAUUGUUAAAACAUUCUCAAGUGUUCCAAUGGCUAUGUCAUCUUU